rnacentral:rRNA from 1 species
CCCUUAGAUGUCCUGGGCCGCACGCGCGCUACACUGAUGCAUUCAACGAGUUUUACCUUGGCCGAGAGGCCUGGGCAAUCUUUUGAACCUGCAUCGUGAUAGGGAUAGAUUAUUGCAAUUAUUAAUCUUGAACGAGGAAUUCCUAGUAAACGCAGAUCAUCAAUCUGCAUUGAUUACGUCCCUGCCCUUUGUACACACCGCCCGUCGCACCUACCGAUUGAAUGGUCCGGUGAAGCCUCGGGAUUGUGGCGAGCUCCCUUUAUUGGGAGUUUGUCGCGAGAACUUGUCUAAACCUUAUCAUUUAGAGGAAGGUGAAGUCGUAACA